CAGCCGCCGCGGUAAUACGGAGGGUGCGAGCGUUAAUCGGAAUUACUGGGCGUAAAGCGUACGCAGGCGGUUUGCUAAGUCAGAUGUGAAAUCCCCGAGCUUAACUCGGGAACUGCAUUUGAAACUGGCAGGCUAGAGUCUCGUAGAGGGGGGUAGAAUUCCAGGUGUAGCGGUGAAAUGCGUAGAGAUCUGGAGGAAUACCGGUGGCGAAGGCGGCCCCCUGGACGAAGACUGACGCUCAGGUACGAAAGCGUGGGGAGCAAACAGGAUUAGAUACCCCAGUAGUCCCUGUCUCUUAUAC
rnacentral:rRNA from 1 species